UGGGGAAUAUUGGGCAAUGGGCGCAAGCCUGAACCAGCCAUCCCGCGUGCAGGAAGACGGCCCUAUGGGUUGUAAACUGCUUUUCCAGGGGGAGAAUUUUUCUGUCGUGACAGGAAUUGACGGUACCCUGGGAAUAAGCAUCGGCUAACUCCGUGCCAGCAGCCGCGGUAAUACGGAGGAUGCGAGCGUUAUCCGGAUUUAUUGGGUUUAAAGGGUGCGUAGGCGGAUAGAUAAGUCAGUGGUGAAAACCUGCAGCUUAACUGUAGACUUGCCGUUGAUACUGUCAGUCUUGAGUAUGGUCAAGGUAGGCGGAAUGUGUAAUGUAGCGGUGAAAUGCUUAGAUAUUACACAGAACACCGAUUGCGAAGGCAGCUUGCUGGGCCAUUACUGACGCUGAGGCACGAAAGCGUGGGGAGCAAACA
rnacentral:rRNA from 1 species